rnacentral:lncRNA from 1 species
UCUGAAUUUACAAUUCAGUGUUUUGUUAUAUCACCAAGAGUAUGUAUCGCGAAAAUACCAUGAAAUAUCGCAAUAUUAUUUUAGGGCCAUAUCGCCCACUUCUGGUACAGUAUCCAACCAAAGUAAGUACACUUUUCAUGGGACAACAGUAAAGAAAUGAAAGUAGUUAAUGUACAACUUGUUCGCAGUAUAGAUUUGCUCUCCUCUAAAAGUAUCCUAACAUACAGCCAUUACUGUCUGAAUAGCUGGCAACACAGAUGAUUACCUAGCGUUGCCUUAACCCUGUUGGGCAUGGAAUUCAGCAGAGCUGCACAGGUUGAUACUGGAGUUCAGGAAGCACUCGUGCACCCCCAGACCAUGAUGCUGCCACCACCAUGCUUGACUGUAAGCAAGGGACUGUUGUCUUAGUAGUCCUCACCUGGGCACCACAGCACACACAACAUGGACAUCUGGGCAAAAAAUGUUGUCUUGUCAAAACACAGGACACUGUUCGCUGAAUAAUUAAUUGGAUAACUCAGUAAAAAUUUAACAAUUCUAUGUUGAUACUGAAUCACUGCAGCAUACCCUUCUGUCUCCUCCUGUAGAUGAGUAUAAGAGUAAGGUGGUGUGUGAAGAGGAGCGUCUGAGGCUGAGCUGUAAGACCGGGAUGCAGAUUGCUGUGUAUUCAGCCAUGUUUGGACGCACACAGCAAGGAACACUGGAAUGUCCUCCACAUCACCGGAGGGCGCCGUCUGUGGACUGCCAGUCGGAGGUGGCUCUGCAGGUGAUGACGUCACGUUGCCAGGGGAGACGGACGUGUGUGAUCCGAGCCUCUGUUCUGGAGUUUGGAGACCCCUGUUACUCCGGCACCAGAAAAUACCUUAGUGUUAUAUAUACCUGCGGUGAGCUGAGCUCUACCUCUCUCUCUCUCUGUUUCUCACUGUCUUUCUUCCUCACACACAUACAACUUUUUGUUUCUAUGCCUUUAAAGUUGAUGUUAAAUGCACUCUUUUCUGGCUGUGCUUUUUCAACUCUGGUCUGAAACACCCCUUAUAACUUCAGUAUUAGUGGUCUAGACUGAACAGCUGUCGGGCUGAACAGGCCUCAAACAGGCUUUUUGUAUGGAUAUGUUCUAUUGUAUAUGAUAGAGGGCUGUGUUGCUUGGUUUGCCAUUGAUUAAUGAGCCCUAUGCCUCAGUUGUGGGAUAUGAUUAGAGUGUAUUAAGUGAGUUCAGGAUGUUUUAAGCUACUUUAUGCUGAAUAUAUAUCAGCAUUCCAUCACUCUUUCAGAUAUAAGCUGGUGAAAAGGUUUAGCUGUUGUCAACACUCAACUGUCAAAAGGAACGUAUGUUAAACACGUAUACAGUGUGUAAGGAAAUUAUUCAGACCUCUUUAAAAAAGAGGAAAUGCAAAUUUAUUAAAAAAGAAAAAAACGAAAUAUCACGUGGUCAUAAGUAUUCAGACCCUUUGCUGUGACACUCAUUUAACUCACAUGCUGUAUAUUUCUUCUGAUCCUCUUUGAGAUGCUUCUUCUCUUUCAUUGGAGUCCAGCUGUGUUUAAUUAAACUGAUUGGACUUGAUUAGAAAAUAUACAUACCUGUCUAUAUAAGACAACACAGCUCACAGUUUAGUCAGAGCAAAUGAGAAUCAUGAUGUCGAAGGAAGGAACUCCAGAGAUGCAGUAGGGAGGUGGGAGAAAGUUUCACAAAGUCAACUAUCACUGCAGCCUUCCACCAGUCGGGGCUUUAUGGCUGAGUGGCCCGACAAAAGCCUCUCCUAAGUACAAGACAUAUGAAAGCACACAUAAAGGACUCUCAGACGAUGAGAAAUAAGAUUCUCUACUCUGAUGAGACAAAAAUUUAACUUUUUGCCGUUAAUUCUAAGCAGCAUGUGUGGAGAAAACCAGGCACUGCUCAUCACCACCCAUGGUGGUGGCAGCAUGAACCCAAUUGAGCAUCACUAAAGAGACCUGAAAAAGGCUUUCCUCCAACAUUUACCAUCCAACCUGACGGCACUGGAGAGGAUCUUCAAGGAAGAAUGGCA